ACUCCUACGGGAGGCAGCAGUGGGGAAUUUUGGACAAUGGACGCAAGUCUGAUCCAGCCAUUCCGCGUGCAGGAUGAAGGCCCUCGGGUUGUAAACUGCUUUUGUACGGAACGAAAAGGUCUCUCCUAAUACGAGGGGCUCAUGACGGUACCGUAAGAAUAAGCACCGGCUAACUACGUGCCAGCAGCCGCGGUAAUAC
rnacentral:rRNA from 1 species